AUCCAUAUCUCAUUGUUCAAGUUACUUUGAGUGAGCAACCCUCACAGCGUCACCCAGUCGGCAUUGUGCAGGAGCAUUUCUCUCCCGUCGGAGCAACUUCAGAGAUUCAAUGCUAGUUGUUUGGACUUUGAAAAUAUGAAAGUAAUAAGCUUUUCCGGUGGCAUAACAAAACCCUGUUUUUUUAUUGCCCAAACAGAAAUGCCUAUUCUAACAUUUGCUCAUUGUAAGCUGAGUGCUACCCUAGCUCUUAGGAGGAUGGGGUCCAUUACGAGACUUCAAUAUUCUGUUGCUGAUAGGACAUUCACUUCUGGUUCCGUGGAUUUGCCGGCUUCCAAAACGGACUCUGGUCGAGUGAAUCGGAGGCGGGGAGGCGGCUCAUCCUCGGUAUAUAGCCGUCCUAGUUUAUCAGAAAUGAAGAAGGAGAAGGCAGCAAUAAGGGAAAAGGUUUAUGAGUUCUUGAGGGCAAUUGGCAUUGUUCCUGAUGAGCUUGAUGGUCUUGAACUCCCUGUGACUGUUGAUGUUAUGAGGGAGCGCGUUGAUUUUCUUCAUAGUUUGGGGCUUACGAUUGAAGACAUCAACAACUAUCCGCUUGUUCUUGGCUGCAGUGUCAAGAAGAACAUGAUUCCUGUGCUUGAUUACCUUGGAAAAUUGGGAGUGAGGAAAUCCUCGAUCACUCAAUUCUUGCAGAGAUACCCACAAGUGCUCCAUGCUAGUGUGGUUGUGGAUCUUAUGCCGGUGGUCAAUUAUCUUAAGGGGAUGGAUAUCAAGUUCGAUGAUGUUCCUCGUGUUCUUGAGAGGUACCCUGAAGUUCUCGGAUUCAAACUUGAGGGAACUAUGAGCACAUCCGUUGCUUAUUUGAUUGGAAUUGGAGUAGGAAGAAGAGAAAUUGGAGGUGUCUUAACUAGAUACCCAGAGAUUUUGGGGAUGCGAGUUGGUAGAGUCAUCAAGCCUUUUGUGGAAUAUCUGGAAAGCUUGGGAAUUCCAAGGUUAGCUAUUGCUAGACUGAUAGAGCAACGGCCUUAUAUUCUUGGAUUUGGGCUGGGUGAGAAGGUGAAGCCAAAUGUUAAAUACCUUGAAGAGUAUAAUGUUAGGCGAACAUCACUUCCGUCUAUAAUUGCUCAAUAUCCUGACAUCAUUGGAACUGACCUAAAUCAAAAGCUUGAAAAACAGAGAAGUUUACUCAAUUCUGUACUUGAUUUGGAUCCAGAGGACUUUGGCCGAGUUGUUGAGAAGAUGCCACAGGUAGUUAACCUCAGCAGUGGACCUAUGCUGAAACAUGUUGAUUUUCUUAAGAAUUGUGGGUUUUCCUUGCCACAAAUGAGGCAGAUGGUUGUUGGAUGCCCUCAAUUACUUGCUUUAAACAUUGACAUUAUGAAACUUAGCUUUGAUUACUUCCAAAUGGUUAUGAAAAGGCCUUUGGAAGACUUGGUUACUUUCCCUGCAUUCUUCACUUACGGUUUGGAGUCAACUAUAAAACCUAGGCAUAAGAUGGUUGUCAAGAAAGGGUUGAAGUGUUCUCUGUCAUGGAUGCUUAAUUGUUCUAAUGAGAAAUUUGAGCAACGAAUGGACUAUGACACUAUUGACAUGGAAGAGAUGGAAAUGGAACCAUCAUUUGACAUGAAUUCACUGACGCAACCAAGAAGUGAUGAAUCAGAUUUUGAUUAUGAAGACAGCGAUGAAGAUGAUGAGUAGAAUGAUUAAGUUACUCCAAUAACUAGUUUAUCUGGGAAAAUUUUGAUAUUCUGUUGGAUGAUCUUUAUGCUGAUAUUUACAAUGAUGUACCAUUGGAAAGGUCAUCACAUUCACAUAUCAUAUUGUUGCCCUCCCAUUGCUUCAACCUUGUAUAGUCACAAAUUGUCCUUCUCCCUCAAAGCUCACAGGUUGUGGUCACAUAUUGUCUCGAAGCUAACAGAAGGGAUGCCAUGAAGUGGGUUGAAACUUGAAACUAAUCAGGUUGUGUUGAGAUUGUGGAAAUUCUCAUUCCUGGUGGGAGGAUACGAUUUGUAUGCAUGUUUGUGCUCUCUAUCGUCAACAUGGUUGGUGUGCUUGGGAUCUUAUGUGCAGUAGUUCACUGUUGGCAUCUGUGAGUGUAUUACUCCUUUACUGUCUAUAAGUGUAACUAUGUUAAAUAUAACUUCUAAAAUCUUGUUAAGUGUAACUAUCUUAGUUAGACAGCUGUGAGUCUGUGACUGAGUCUCUGUAUAUAUAAGGUACUGUGAACAGAGACUCAGUGCCUUUGUAGUGUUU